rnacentral:rRNA from 1 species
GAAUGCUGACAUAAGUAACGAUAAAGCGGGUGAAAAGCCCGCUCGCCGGAAGACCAAGGGUUCCUGUCCAACGUUAAUCGGGGCAGGGUGAGUCGACCCCUAAGGCGAGGCCGAAAGGCGUAGUCGAUGGGAAACGGGUUAAUAUUCCCGUACUUGGUGUUACUGCGAAGGGGGGACGGAGAAGGCUAUGUUGGCCGGGCGACGGUUGUCCCGGUUUAAGCGUGUAGGUGUGUGUUCCAGGUAAAUCCGGUUCACUUUAACACUGAGGCGUGAUGACGAGGCACUACGGUGCUGAAGCAACAAAUGCCCUGCUUCCAGGAAAAGCCUCUAAGCAUCAGGUAACAUCAAAUCGUACCCCAAACCGACACAGGUGGUCAGGUAGAGAAUACCAAGGCGCUUGAGAGAACUCGGGUGAAGGAACUAGGCAAAAUGGUGCCGUAACUUCGGGAGAAGGCACGCUGACACGUAGGUGAAGU